rnacentral:lncRNA from 1 species
UAGGUACCAUGAUUCUUCUUUUGAGGUCUCCAAGUCCAUCUUCUUGAAAGUUCUUAGACUAUUCUUGAUAUUGGGAUAAUGCAGGAAUCUUUCUUGGGUUAAAAAUAUCAAUCUCCUCUUUAGAAGACUUGUGGGAGUUCAUGUGGGAAAAGGAUUUCUCUUUCCUACAGGGAAUAUACCUUUUCCAUUGGCGCGGGCUUCUUCUUGCUUCGCAAGCAUGCGCAUGCUGUGACAUUUCAAAUGCUAAUUAAGAUAUAAGGGCACCAUAUACAGAAAUAGAUUAUAAGUGCAUAGUAAUUAAUUGUAUGCAGUGAAAUAAUUUACUACAAAUCUCUUACAAAAUAUAUGAGUUCCAAUUACAUAUAUAACUGAGGCCAGAAGUGGCAACAAAAUACAAAUAUCGAAACACAAAAAAGGGUCACUUCAUUCAUUAUGUAAAAAAACUCAUCAGAGUGCAGGACAAGUUAUGCACUCAAAAUAGUUUACGGAUCUCUUGUCCUGCACUCAAAAUAGUUUACGGAUCUACGAGAUCCUUAAAGACUUCAAGGGGUAAGUUAGUGAUCGAUUCCUCACUAUCUUCCUCAUCUGGAGAGGAACAUGGAAAUGGGUGAGUUUCAUAUACUCAGUAAGAAAA